CGCAUCUGUGCAUGCAGCAUAUCAAUAAGCGGAGGAAAAGAAACUAACAAGGAUUCCCUCAGUAACGGCGAGUGAAGCGGGAAGAGCUCAAAUUUGAAAUCUUGAAAGGUCUCCUUUCACGAAUUGUAGUUUAAAGAAGUGUUUUCUGCUGACGAUCUGGUAAUAUAAGUUCUUUGGAAUAGGACAUCACAGAGGGUGAGAAUCCCGUCUAUGAUUGCAUAUUUGUAGCUUUGUGAUACACUUUCAAAGAGUCGGAUUGUUUGGGAAUGCAGUCCCAAAACUGGGUAGGUAAAUUUCAUUCUAAAGCUAAAUAUUGGCGAGAGACCGAUAGCGAACAAGUACCGUGAGGGAAAGAUGAAAAGAACUUUGAAAAGAGAGUUAAAUAGUACGUGAAAUUGUCAAAAGGGAAGCGUUUGACACCAGUGUUGUUUUCUCGAAAAUCAAUUAAAAAUGGCUCGAUUUUGUAUUGUUGAGACCUUAAAAGCUCACUGUACAUUUUUCGUGUCUUUUUUAAUGCACUUUUCGUUUAACAAGUCAACAUCAGUUUCUUUUGUUGUAAAAGGGUCAUUGGAAGGUGGCUUUCUUUUCGGAGAAAGUGUUUAUAGCCUUUGGCCUCUGCAAUCGGAAGAGACUGAGGUCUGCAGCGUAGACUCUUCGGGGUUAGAUACAUUUGUGCUAAGUUAUAGCUUUUUAUAGACAACUUGUUGACUAUAAUUAGUCUUGUAGCUUACUCGCUUAUGCUAUUUUACCUACGCUUAGGAUGUUGACGAUCAGCUGAGCGCG
rnacentral:rRNA from 1 species